rnacentral:rRNA from 1 species
CCCGCCGGACCUGACUGCUAUCGGAUUGAUACUAAGCCAUGCGAGUCUUUGUAGUAAUACAAGGCAGACGGCUCAGUAACACGUAGUCAACCUACCCUAUGGACAAGAAUAAUCUCGGGAAACUGGGCAUAAUUCUUGAUAGAUCAUAAUGCCUGGAAUGGUUUAUGGUUAAAAUGAUUCGUCGCCAUAGGAUGGGACUGCGGCCUAUCAGCUUGUUGGUGAGGUAAUGGCCCACCAAGGCGAUUACAGGUACGGGCUCUGAGAGGAGAAGCCCGGAGAUGGGUACUGAGACACGGACCCAGGCCCUAUGGGGCGCAGCAGGCGAGAAAACUUUGCAAUGUGCGAAAGCACGACAAGGUUAAUCCGAGUGAUUUCUGCUAAAGAAAUCUUUUGCCAGUCGUAAAACCGCUGGUGAAUAAGGGGUGGGCAAGUUCUGGUGUCAGCCGCCGCGGUAAAACCAGCACCUCAAGUGGUCAGGAUGAUUAUUGGGCCUAAAGCAUCCGUAGCCGGCUUUGUAAGUUUUCGGCUAAAUCCAUGUGCUCAACGCAUGGGCUGCCGAAAAUACUGCAGAGCUAGGGAGUGGGAGAGGUAGACGGUACUCGGGAGGAAGUGGUAAAAUCCUUUGAUCUAUUGAUGACCACCUGUGGCGAAGGCGGUCUACCAGAACACGUUCGACGGUGAGGGAUGAAAGCUGGGGGAGCAAACCGGAUUAGAUACCCGGGUAGUCCCAGCUGUAAACGAUGCAGACUAGAUGAUGCAUUGGCAUAAUAGCCAUUGCAGUGUCUCAGGGAAGCCGUUAAGUCUGCCGCCUGGGAAGUACGUACGCAAGUAUGAA